rnacentral:rRNA from 1 species
AUACGUAGGGUGCGAGCGUUGUCCGGAAUUACUGGGCGUAAAGAGCUCGUAGGUGGUUUGUCGCGUCGUCUGUGAAAUUCCGGGGCUUAACUCCGGGCGUGCAGGCGAUACGGGCAUAACUUGAGUACUGUAGGGGAGACUGGAAUUCCUGGUGUAGCGGUGAAAUGCGCAGAUAUCAGGAGGAACACCGGUGGCGAAGGCGGGUCUCUGGGCAGUAACUGACGCUGAGGAGCGAAAGCAUGGGUAGCGAACAGGAUAGAUCCCCUGGUAGUCCAUGCCGUAAACGGUGGGCGCUAGGUGUAGGGGUCUUCCACGACUUCUGUGCCGUAGCUAACGCAUUAAGCGCCCCGCCUGGGGAGUACGGCCGCAAGGCUAAAACUCAAAGGAAUUGGCGGGG